rnacentral:rRNA from 1 species
AUUGAACGCUAGCGGGAGGCCUAACACAUGCAAGUCGAACGAGUGGCGGACGGGUGAGUAAUAUCUGGGAAAGUGCCCAAUAGCGGGGGAUAACUACUCGCAAGAGUGGCUAAUACCGCAUACAAUCGGAGCGGCCCAGAUUGGAUUAGCUAGUUGGUGGGGUAAAGGCUAACCUAGGCGACGAUACCUAGCUGGUUUGAGAGGACUACCAGCCACACUGGAACUGAGACACGGUCCAGACUCCGACGUGAGGCAGCAGUGGGGAAUUUUGCACAAUGGGCGAAAGCCUGAUGCAGCCAUGCCGCGUGUAUGAUGAAGGCCUUCGGGUUGUAAAGUACUUUUAGCGGGGAGGCGUUACCUGCAGAAUAAGCACCGGCUAACUCCGUGCCAGCAGCCGCGGUAAUUC